AGUGAACGCUGGCGGUAGGCCUAACACAUGCAAGUCGAACGGCAGCACAGUAAGAGCUUGCUCUUACGGGUGGCGAGUGGCGGACGGGUGAGGAAUACAUCGGAAUCUACUUUUUCGUGGGGGAUAACGUAGGGAAACUUACGCUAAUACCGCAUACGACCUACGGGUGAAAGCAGGGGAUCUUCGGACCUUGCGCGAUUGAAUGAGCCGAUGUCGGAUUAGCUAGUUGGCGGGGUAAAGGCCCACCAAGGUGACGAUCCGUAGCUGGUCUGAGAGGGUGAUCAGCCACACUGGAACUGAGACACGGUCCAGACUCCUACGGGAGGCAGCAGUGGGGAAUAUUGGACAAUGGGCGCAAGCCUGAUCCAGCCAUACCGCGUGGGUGAAGAAGGCCUUCGGGUUGUAAAGCCCUUUUGUUGGGAAAGAAAAGCAGCAGGUUAAUACCCCGCUGUUCUGACGGUACCCAAAGAAUAAGCACCGGCUAACUUCGUG
rnacentral:rRNA from 1 species